UCUCAUCAUUCUCAGCGAUUCAUUUCACUCAGGCAACUGAACAACCCGCUGUAGUUGGUCUUACAGUCUACAACUUUCUGAGAAAUCUGCAAAGAACAUAUUCUUUAGACUGCUGCUGAAAGUGUUUUAGUUCAAAUAAAUCUCACCAUGUCACAAGUUUAUGGAUCUACUAAAACCGGAUAUGAUGGACUCAAUCAAAUAUUGGUUGAUAGGAAUGAAUUAGGUAUGAUUCAUUCUACAAUAUAGA